ACGCAUGCGCCCAACACUUUGCUGGGCAACUUGACCGAGAGACUCUGCUGCCUGUCGCCCACAACACAACAGUCCGCAUCUUCAUCAGUAUCUGUAUCAUCAUCACCAGCAGCAGCAACAAGAGUGUGAUGAGGAGCUAGAUUCUAGACCAACACACAGGAUGACCCAAGUAAUGAACUCUCUGGAGACGGGGGCAGUGGGAGGCGACCAGGACGCAAUAUUCCCAGAUUCCCAUGAAAGGCAUCCAAAAUUGUCCAAGAGGCUUCCAUCUAUUGUGGUGGAGCCGACAGACGGGCCAGAAGUGGAGAGCGGCGAGCUCCGGUGGCCACCGGAACCCAGCUCCCCAGACGCUCAGACCAA